GACGAACGCUGGCGGCGUGCUUAACACAUGCAAGUCGAACGGAAAGGCCCUGCUUUUGUGGGGUGCUCGAGUGGCGAACGGGUGAGUAACACGUGAGUAACCUGCCCUUGACUUUGGGAUAACUUCAGGAAACUGGGGCUAAUACCGGAUAGGAGCUCCUGCUGCAUGGUGGGGGUUGGAAAGUUUCGGCGGGUGGGGAUGGACUCGCGGCUUAUCAGCUUGUUGGUGGGGUAGUGGCUUACCAAGGCUUUGACGGGUAGCCGGCCUGAGAGGGUGACCGGCCACAUUGGGACUGAGCUACGGCCCAGACUCCUACGGGAGGCAGCAGUGGGGAAUAUUGCACAAUGGGCGGAAGCCUGAUGCAGCAACGCCGCGUGCGGGAUGACGGCCUUCGGGUUGUAAACCGCUUUCGCCUGUGACGAAGCGUGAGUGACGGUAAUGGGUAAAGAAGCACCGGCUAACUACGUG
rnacentral:rRNA from 1 species